UAGAGGUCACAUAGCUUUCUGUAGCCAG
rnacentral:piRNA from 1 species